GUACUAUUUGUGUGACCCUACGGGUUCAGUCAAGAGUAAGCUGUGGAUUAAUAUCAUUAAUUCCACUUGAACUGAAGCGGCCUCUAGCUAGGCAUUCAGCUCACUUGAUCUCACUGAAUUAUUAAUUUGUUAAUUAAUACUGAACCACAUUUAUUAGACUUAACAUUGAAUGCAUACUUGGACCAAGGGCAUUAUUUCCUUCAAGAAGUAGCUCAAAUAGUUGGGCCUUUUUCUAAUUAGGCCCUGUUGUAUUAUUAGAACAAUAUUCUGGAUGUAAUAGGGAGUAUUUUGUAGUGCAGUUGGCACAAAGAUAAAUCAGCCUGGGAAUGAAGCCUUACAUGGCCCAAACCAAAAGUAACAAGAAAGGUUGUCAGAGAAGAUGUUCUGGUUAUUAGAAAUGACAACGAGGUAAGACUAUAUCACGUACAACAAUGCGGAGUACUAACCAUUUUGAAGGAUAAAAUGGAAACAAAAAGAAUUUACAUUUGUAUGUGGAUGAUGAGGUAAUCCGUAAAUGACAAUCUAUGUUUUGGAAAUGAUAAUUUAACAAGCAACAAGAUAUAGUUUGUAGCUAGCUAGGGCUUUGAAUUGUGAGAGGGUCGGGUCGGGUCGGGAAUCUUAGGACGCUUAUGAUUAGAUGGAUAGCCAAGCUUGUAUGUACGUGUUUGUAUUAUGGCCUGUUUGGAUAUGAGUCUUUCAUUGGCUUCAAAACAGAGGAGGUGGGAAUUGGGCCAAAUCAUCUAUUUGGGAAUGCAAAGUAUUGGGAAUUGGAUUUGGCCCAAUUCCAAGCCUUUUAAAAUUAAAGCCUAAAACUGGAAUUUGAAAUUACGUUAAAAUAGCUGGUAUUUCAAAUCCAAAAUCACGGUAUCUUGACCUCUCUGAUUCUCUCGCUCUCAGUAAUCUCUCAGCCUUACACUUUCUCUCUCGUGCCUAGCCAUCUUCGAGCAGCCUCACACUCUCUCUCAUGCCUGCCAUAUUCGAGCUCAGCCUCCAAGUUCUUCUCUUACUCUCUCCUACGCGAAUCGAUCUUCUGUUUGAGGAGGAAGUACCCCAGACCUCUUCUCUGUAUAUCUAAACAAAUGCAUCGACAAUUGAGAAGAUAUUUGCACAUUAUUUGCCUCGGACAGAGCUACUGGUGACGGCGCAGAGCAACAUGAUGAAUCAACUACUACAAUGGAGACUGAAAAUGAAGGUGGGAGUACUUCCGAAACAGCAUCUGGAGAGUCAAACAAAAGGUUGAAGAACGACUGCCGUGCUGAUGCGGUUAGUAGCUUUGCUGAAUCUUUCAAGGAGUAUGUGAGCAAGGAACGAAAUCCUCCAAGAUCGACUAGCCAAGAGAUAUACGAUGUGGUGUCUAGCGUUCUAGAAAAACUACUUUAUCGUAUUCAGAAUAGUCUUUCUUGGUUUCUUUUUAAAUUCCAAGAGUAACAAUAUUCUGGUUAUCCUGCUCUAUAGCUUGUCUAGAGGACUGUCUGAAGUGGAAGCCACCUUGAACCUUAAUGUGAUACAGUGUGCUUAAGACGUGGCAAGGGCAUCUUUGGAAUGUAUAAGCAACCCAGAAGUCCCUUUUAACCCAUACCAAGGCAAAUUAAUUCGUUUGCACGAAAGGAAAUGUUCUUCAAGGGCUACACCUACUAAAUCAAAGUUUAAAUGUAAAUAUGCAUAUUUAACACAAACCACAAAGAUAAAGUUCUAAUUGAUCUCUCAUUGACAUCGUCAUGCAGAUGUUUUGUUCUGGAAAAAAUUAAAUUUAUUCCACUAGAUACUGUGUUAUUUCUGUUAUACUCGCUAUUUGGAACUGUGGGAAUGCUUCUGUUAAUUAGGCAUUGCUUUUGUGUA